UACGUAGGGUGCAAGCGUUGUCCGGAAUUAUUGGGCGUAAAGAGCUCGUAGGCGGUCUGUCGCGUCGGCUGUGAAAUCCCGAGGCUCAACCUCGGGUCUGCAGUCGAUACGGGCAAACUGGAGUGUUGCAGGGGAGACUGGAAUUCCUGGUGUAGCGGUGAAAUGUGCAGAUAUCAGGAGGAACACCGGUGGCGAAGGCGGGUCUCUGGGCAACAACUGACGCUGAGGAGCGAAAGCGUGGGGAGCGAACAGG
rnacentral:rRNA from 1 species